rnacentral:rRNA from 1 species
GACGAACGCUGGCGGUGUGCUUAACACAUGCAAGUCGAACGGUAAGGCCCUUCCGGGGGUACACGAGUGGCGAACGGGUGAGUAACACGUGAGUAACCUGCCCUCAUCUCUGGGAUAACAGUCGGAAACGGUUGCUAAUAUUGGAUAUGAGCUUGCAAGGCAUCUUGUGGGUUGGAAAGAUUUUUUUUGGUUGGGGAUGGACUCGCGGCCUAUCAGCUUGUUGGUGAGGUAGUGGCUCACCAAGGCUUCGACGGGUAGCCGGCCUGAGAGGGCGACCGGCCACAUUGGGACGGAGAUACGGCCCAAACUCCUACGGGAGGCAGCAGUGGGGAAUAUUGCACAAUGGACGGAAGUCUGAUGCAGCAACGCCGCGUGCGGGAUGACGGCCUUCGGGUUGUAAACCGCUUUCAAUUGUGACGAAGCUUUUUUGUGACGGUAGCAGUAGAAGAAGCACCGGCUAACUACGUG